UACAGAGGGUGCGAGCGUUGUCCGGAAUCACUGGGCGUAAAGGGCGUGUAGGCGGCUGGGUAAGCCGCGUGUGAAAUCCCGGGGCUCAACCCCGGAACGGCACGCGGGACUGUCCGGCUAGAGAAUGGUAGAGGCGAGUGGAAUUCCUGGUGUAGCGGUGGAAUGCGUAGAGAUCAGGAAGAACACCGGUGGCGAAGGCGGCUCGCUGGGCCAUUUCUGACGCUGAGGCGCGAAAGCGUGGGGAGCGAACCGG
rnacentral:rRNA from 1 species